GAUGAACGCUAGCGGCAGGCCUAACACAUGCAAGUCGAGGGAGAAGCCCUUCGGGGCGGAAACCGGCGCACGGGUGCGUAACGCGUAUGCAACCUACCUUUCACAGGGGGAUAGCCCGAAGAAAUUUGGAUUAAUACCCCAUAAUAUUAUUGGAUGGCAUCAUUUGAUAAUUAAAAUUACGAUGGUGAAAGAUGGGCAUGCGUCCUAUUAGCUAGUUGGAGUGGUAACGGCACCCCAAGGCUACGAUAGGUAGGGGUCCUGAGAGGGAGAUCCCCCACACUGGUACUGAGACAGGGACCAGACUCCUACGGGAGGCAGCAGUGAGGAAUAUUGGUCAAUGGUCGGAAGACUGAACCAGCCAUGCCGCGUGCAGGAAGAAUGCCUUAUGGGUUGUAAACUGCUUUUAUAUGGGAAGAAUAAGGAGUACGUGU
rnacentral:rRNA from 1 species